CAUGUUUUUUCACAUCAAAAUGUAGAUUGGAGAUAACUUAAUGUACUUAAGCAGGACAAAAUAUUCUACUGUAACAAAUAUAUGCAGUCAUAGUGAGCAUAACUUUGUAUUCUCCAAUAUUUGAUACUGGAAGUUGGACCUCUUUGAAUCAUACUCAUUUUCUACAGUUAUUUCAAUGUUGAAAUUUAACUAAUGUUUUAUAAUAUCAUAUAAAAUCAUACACUCACACAAUAAUAUAUGUAUCUUAAAAGCACCUUGUAUAUUCUCAAAUAUAUGAAAAGCUACAUAUUUCAAGCAAAAAUUAAUAUUUAGAAUAACAUCAUUUCAUAUGAUUGAUUGGUUGGUUAAUUGAUGUGUGCUUUAUGUUGCAUUGACACAUACACUAUAUACAUCCAAAGUGUAUGUGUAUACAUGUUUCUAGUUAUUUUCAUUUGAAUUUUAUCAUGUUAUUUCAAACAUUCUUCUUAUAAGUUUAGAUAAACUGUUACAGUGAAAACCCAUAACACUUUUUUUCUUCAAAAGUUUUGACCUUGUAUCUUCAUGAGAAAAUCAAUUAAAAUAUGAAAACAAGAAUAAAAAAUAUCUCCUUGCCAGUAAUUGCACAUCAACAAUUAAAUGUAUGAAAUGAAAUAUAAAUAUCACAGACAAACAUAUAACCCAACUACAUAUCUGUUAACCUCUAAUCUGGUAUGAAGCUCAAGAUUAUUAAAAGCCAAUAAACAAAUGCAAACAGACAAAUUGAUAGGUCUCUAAUAGUGGAGUAUGUCACAUGUUUACAUUUGGGAUGAAAUAAGCUCUCUCCAAUAUCAUGAAUAAAUUAAAAAUCUAAAAAAUAUUAUUAUUUGAUAAACCCUCAUUAAGUAAAAAGUUUAUUCAUCUGGAAGAUUGGCAAAAAUUAUUGAAACAAGUGGAAAAAGUCAGCUGCACAUGUUCAUUAUAAAUAUAAGCAAACAUUCUAGAAAUUGUGAAGGCUCUGGUUUGAAAAUUGAAGGAGUGAAAAGACAAGAACUCUUUACCACUUGCUGUCCUUCCAUCCACCUGUUUGAUAAACAUUCCUUUUACUUUAAGCCAGAUUUGUAUUUUGAUAUUAUUUGGUUUAAAGAGUAAAAAAAUACCCAAUAAUCAGCAAAAAAGUAAGUGAAAUGUUGAAUUUUAGCAAAAAAAUUCACAUGAAUUAUGCUCUUGUAUGAAUAAAUGUAUAUAACAGAUUAAUGGAGGGAUCAAAACACUAUAAUAGCCACUACUUAAUUGCACUGUGUAUAAAUACAGGUGAUGCAUCUAAAUGUAUGACAGAAUCUUCAACAAUUUUGUUAAAUACACAAUUUAUCUUACUACAAGUACAAAAUAUGUUGAAUAAACUAACCCUGUGAUUACUAAGACUCAGGCAUGGGGUAAUCGUAAUCAGUAAUCGUAAUUAGCUGUAAUCGAUUACAUUCUGCAGUGUAAUCCUAUGUAAUCAGUAAUCAUGCCAUUUCUGAUUACAAGUAAUCAUAAUGUAAUCGAUUACAUUGCAAAAAACAGGUGUAAUCAGGAUUACUUUUAGAUUACUUUAAGAUUACAUUCAUAUGAUUACUUGCUGAUU
rnacentral:lncRNA from 1 species